rnacentral:rRNA from 1 species
GACGUAGGGCGCGAGCGUUUGUCCGGAUUUAUUGGGCGUAAAGAGCUCGUAGGCGGCUCGUUGCGUCAGCUGUGAAAGUCCGAGGCUCAACCUCGGAUCUGCAGUGGGUACGGGCAGACUAGAGUGUGGUAGGGGGAGACUGGAAUUCCUGGUGUAGCGGUGGAAUGCGCAGAUAUCAGGAGGAACACCAAUAGCGAAGGCAGGUCUCUGGGCCACAACUGACGCUGAGGAGCGAAAGCAUGGGGGAGCGAACAGG